UGGGGAAUUUUGCACAAUGGGGGAAACCCUGAUGCAGCGACGCCGCGUGAUUUAGAAGGCCUUCGGGUUGUAAAAAUCUUUUCUAUGGGAAGAAAAUGACAGUACCAUAGGAAUAAGGACCGGCUAAUUACGUGCCAGCAGCCGCGGUAAUACGUAAGGUCCGAGCGUUGUCCGGAAUCAUUGGGCGUAAAGGGUACGUAGGCGGGUAAGCAAGUUAGAAGUGAAAUCCUAUAGCUCAACUAUAGUAAGCUUUUAAAACUGCUCAUCUUGAGGUAUGGAAGGGAAAGUGGAAUUCCUAGUGUAGCGGUGAAAUGCGCAGAUAUUAGGAGGAAUACCGGUGGCGAAGGCGACUUUCUGGCCAUAACCUGACGCUGAGGUACGAAAGCGUCGGUAGCAAACAGG
rnacentral:rRNA from 1 species